rnacentral:tRNA from 1 species
AGUAAAAUGCCUGAAUUUUAAAGGAUUAUCUUGAUAGGAUAAAUAAUGUAAAUAAUUACUUUUACUA